UGUUUUUUUUUAAUCUGGCAAACCUGCAAAAUAUUUUUCUUUUGUUUUAAAUCUACAAUAAUAUAUGAAAAGCUAAAUUAUGUGACUGCAAUUGUGUUUAGUUUCAGGUAAAAUUGAAAACAUAAUGUAAUUUUUGCAAACACAAAUACUAAAAUGUUUGUGGCCCCUGGGGUUGUUUCAGCUUGACAUUUUUGGCCCACAUGCCAGAAGGUUAGGACACCCAUGGUCUCAUAUGAAAUGUGCUCUUAUUUUUUCAGUGUAAUGACUGUGAUGUUUUCAAUUGAAUUUCUCAAUCAUCAAAGUCUUAGUGAAAGAUGAAGCAAUGUUUACAACCAUGAGUUAGCAUGAUAGGGAGAGAAUAGAGUUCCCAUCCGCUGAGGUCAGGCUGCCAUCCAUGCGCAGUGGCAGUAUCGUAGUCUAUGAGGUUUAACCGAGGCACGAUUAUUGCUAGUUGAAAACUUUACCCAAUACCCCGCCUUGACGACUUGAAAUAUAGUCGGCAAUGGCAAUUUUUGACGGUCUCUAUGGAGACUGAUUUCUAUGUAAAUGGAAUUAAUAAUUAACUGAUAAGUACAUAGAAAGUAAUGUGUCUUCAGUGAUAUGUUUUUCAGAAUAGUGAUGGGCCAACCAGAUGACACAGAAACCUCGGCACAUUCGCGGAGCAAACAAGAUGAAACGAAACCACGUGUCUGUGUGCGUGUCACUUUAAGGAAAACCACGUGACCACUACAGUUCCUGUAUCGUUUGGUUGUGAACGCGCCAAAUUGCGUUUGUGAAGGAGAAACAGCGUUGACACGUUUGUGGGUUUUUGUUGAAUGGAGAUACUUCGUGUCCUUUGCUUUGCGUUGGUUUUUGGCUCGUAUUUGAAUACCGGGAUGAAUCAACCGAGGAAGAGGAAGUUUUUUCCCCGUGUGGGAUCAUUUUUGAUCUGGUCACGGAGAAUAAGGUGAAACGUAAGAUUUACUCCCAGGUGCUGCCUUACUGUAAGCGGAGCUCUUCCACAAUCCUGAGGCACCGUCGUGCCCGGCAUGAUGGGGGAUGAUCCGGUUAACACUCCGUGAUAAACCCCGGUGCUUCCAGAAAGCAGGCGAUUGAACUGGACCUUCAGCUCAACCAUCUGCUCCCAGUUCAGCAGCUGAACAUGGAAAUCGAAGAGAGCAAUUCAAACUUCUCCACCGACGCCGUUAUCGAGGUACAAAGAUGCAUCUCAGAGGCGAACACGCCAAGAUCACAGGAUCCACUACAAUGCUGGGAAAUGCAGAGACUACAAUUACCCUACAUUAUACAAACACUGAUUAAAUUUCUAUGUAUGCCGUCGUCAUCGGUGCCUUGUGAAAUGGUUUGUAAACGGCGCAAUCGCCCAAAGCUGUUACAGCAGCUGAUGAAGUCUUGUAGUUUAUUUUACAUCUGUAUAAUGCAAUUCAUAAAUGAUUUUUCUCUUCAGUUCCACAUUUGAUGUCCAGCAAACUGUUUUAAGCCAGUUCGCGUUGUCUUGUGAAAGCAAAGAAGACAGAAUGUAAUUUCAUCAACAUAUAAAUUAUUUGGAUGACCUAUAAGUACCGAAAUAUUUCUGUCUAAAGUCUUCCAGAAGAAAUAGGCUCUUAUUUUUUCAGUGUCUGAGGUUAGGACCUUGCAUAUCAAUUUGCAGCAGUGGGCUAUGCAAACCUACCCGCACAACAUUUUGAGUGAUAUAAUGCCAUUUUGGAUGCCAUUUAAGAUUUUCAUCAACUGAAGAUGAAGUGUGUGGUCAUAUUAGCAUUUUUUAGCAAUUGUGAAUAAAAUCGACGGAAUGCAAAUUGUUGAAUUCUUUGGGCUUCGUGCGUCUUCAUGUAAGUUAUCUUAAAAAAAAAACAACUUUGAGUUAUUGUAUUUAAUAAAGUGAAUGUGGAAUUGGA